GAGAGAGGCUUGCCAGCAACAAAGACUGCUAAUCUUUGCCACCUUGGUUGAACCCCAGGGCUCACUCG
rnacentral:tRNA from 1 species